GCCAUGCAUGUCUAAGUAUAAGCAACUAUACUGUGAAACUGCGAAUGGCUCAUUAAAUCAGUUAUCGUUUAUUUGAUAGUACCUUUACCUGGAUAACCGUGGUAAUUCUAGAGCUAAUACAUGCUAAAAACCUCGACUUCGGAAGGGGUGUAUUUAUUAGAUAAAAAACCAAUGCCCUUCGGGGCUCCUUGGUGAAUCAUAAUAACUUAACGAAUCGCAUGGCCUUGCGCCGGCGAUGGUUCAUUCAAACUUCUGCCCUAUCAACUUUCGAUGGUAAGAUAGAGGCUUACCAUGGUCUUAACGGGUAACGGGGAAUUAGGGUUCUAUUCCGGAGAGGGAGCCUGAGAAACGGCUACCACAUCCAAGGAAGGCAGCAGGCGCGCAAAUUACCCAAUCCCGACACGGGGAGGUAGUGACAAUAAAUACUGAUACGGGGCUCUUUUGGGUCUCGUAAUUGGAAUGAGUACAAUCUAAAUCCCUUAACGAGGAACAAUUGGAGGGCAAGUCUGGUGCCAGCAGCCGCGGUAAUUCCAGCUCCAAUAGCGUAUAUUAAAGUUGUUGCCGUUAAAAAGCUCGUAGUUGAACCUUGGGCCUGGCUGACCUGUCCUCCUAAUCGAGCGCACGGGUUCGGUCGGGCCUUUCCUUCUAGGGAACCCCAUGCCCUUCAC
rnacentral:rRNA from 1 species